rnacentral:rRNA from 1 species
GACGAACGCUGGCGGCGUGCUUGACACAUGCAAGUCGAACGGAAAGGCCUGCUUUCCCUUGUGGAUUGCGGGUACUCGAGUGGCGAACGGGUGAGUAACACGUGAGUGAUCUGCCCCCAACUUGGGUAUAAGCCUGGGAAACUGGGUCUAAUUCCCGAUAGGACUGCAGGGUGGUGCCUGUGGUGGAAAACGAUUUUCUAGUGGUUGGGGAUGAGCUCGCGGCCUAUCAGCUUGUUGGUGGGGUAAUGGCCUACCAAGGCGGCGACGGGUAGCCGGCCUGAGAGGGUGGACGGCGACAUUGGGACUGAGAUACGGCCCAGACUCCUACGGGAGGCAGCAGUGGGGAAUAUUGCACAAUGGGCGGAAGCCCGAUGCAGCGACGCCGCGUGGGGGAUGACGGCCUUCGGGUUGUAAACUCCUUUCGACCGCGAGGAAGCCACCUGGUUGGAAGGGUGGUGACGGUAGUGGUAGAAGAAGCACCGGCUAACUACGUG